rnacentral:lncRNA from 1 species
UUCUUUUUCAUGGACCGAUCGCUGGAAAGGUAAUCGGUGUAAUAAAACGUCGAUCUGGCGCACCAUGUGGCCGGAUCUAGCCACUAUGGCGCCAGAUCGGUGCUUCUCCACGGUUGGAUCUGGUCGUUGAGUGUCAGAUCUGACUGGAUCUCGGUUCAAUGUUAUCGGAAAGGACUAGAUCGACGCUUUUCGAUCAUAUUCGGUCUCUAUCGCCGUCGUCGUCGUUGCCGCCGUCGUCGUCGGUGUUGAGUUCCAAUUAGAGAGAGAAUGAG